AGUCGAGCGGACAGAUGGGAGCUUGCUCCCUGAUGUUAGCGGCGGACGGGUGCGUAUCACGUGGGUAACCUGCCUGUAAGACUGGGAUAACUCCGGGAAACCGGGGCUAAUACCGGAUGGUUGUUUGAACCGCAUGGUUCAAACAUAAAAGGUGGCUUCGGCUACCACUUACAGAUGGACCCGCGGCGCAUUAGCUAGUUGGUGAGGUAACGGCUCACCAAGGCAACGAUGCGUAGCCGACCUGAGAGGGUGAUCGGCCACACUGGGACUGAGACACGGCCCAGACUCCUACGGGAGGCAGCAGUAGGGAAUCUUCCGCAAUGGACGAAAGUCUGACGGAGCAACGCCGCGUGAGUGAUGAAGGUUUUCGGAUCGUAAAGCUCUGUUGUUAGGGAAGAACAAGUACCGUUCGAAUAGGGCGGUACCUUGACGGUACCUAACCAGAAAGCCACGGCUAACUACGUGCCAGCAGCCGCGGUAAUACGUAGGUGGCAAGCGUUGUCCGGAAUUAUUGGGCGUAAAGGGCUAAGGGGGGUUUUUUUAAAGUUUUGAUUGUGAAAAGCCCCCCGGGCUCAACCCGGGGGAGGGGUCAUUGGAAAAUUGGGGAACCUUGAGUGGCGAAAGAGGAAGAGUGGAAUUCCCACGUGUAGCGGUGAAAUGCGUAGAGAUGUGGAGGAACACCAGUGGCGAAGGCGACUCUCUGGUCUGUAACUGACGCUGAGGAGCGAAAGCGUGGGGAGCGAACAGGAUUAGAUACCCUGGUAGUCCACGCCGUAAACGAUGAGUGCUAAGUGUUAGGGGGUUUCCGCCCCUUAGUGCUGCAGCUAACGCAUUAAGCACUCCGCCUGGGGAGUACGGUCGCAAGACUGAAACUCAAAGGAAUUGACGGGGGCCCGCACAAGCGGUGGAGCAUGUGGUUUAAUUCGAAGCAACGCGAAGAACCUUACCAGGUCUUGACAUCCUCUGACAAUCCUAGAGAUAGGACGUCCCCUUCGGGGGCAGAGUGACAGGUGGUGCAUGGUUGUCGUCAGCUCGUGUCGUGAGAUGUUGGGUUAAGUCCCGCAACGAGCGCAACCCUUGAUCUUAGUUGCCAGCAUUCAGUUGGGCACUCUAAGGUGACUGCCGGUGACAAACCGGAGGAAGGUGGGGAUGACGUCAAAUCAUCAUGCCCCUUAUGACCUGGGCUACACACGUGCUACAAUGGACAGAACAAAGGGCAGCGAAACCGCGAGGUUAAGCCAAUCCCACAAAUCUGUUCUCAGUUCGGAUCGCAGUCUGCAACUCGACUGCGUGAAGCUGGAAUCGCUAGUAAU
rnacentral:rRNA from 1 species